rnacentral:sRNA from 1 species
ACCCGACUCUGCGAGAGAAGGAUGAGAAGCUUCGACCCGAAGGUUCGAGCCGAGCGCAGCGAGACAACGCGCUUCAGCGCGGCCCGCAGGGUGAGGCGCAGCGCGCCGAAUUAUCCUUCUCCCACCACCA